rnacentral:tRNA from 1 species
GUGGCUCAGAGGUUAAAGCAUCUGCCUGCAAAGUGGGAGACCUGGGUUCGAUCCCUGC